rnacentral:rRNA from 1 species
UCAUUGUAGUAAUACAAGGCAGACGGCUCAGUAACGCGUAGUCAACCUACCCUAUGGACGGGGAUAACCUCGGGAAACUGAGAAUAAUACCCGAUAGAACAUUAUACCUGGAAUGGUUUAUGUUUCAAAUAAUUUAUUGCCGUAGGAUGGGACUGCGGCCUAUCAGUUUGUUGGUGAGGUAAUGGCCCACCAAGACUAUUACAGGUACGGGCUCUGAGAGGAGUAGCCCGGAGAUGGGUACUGAGACACGGACCCAGGCCCUAUGGGGCGCAGCAGGCGAGAAAACUUUGCAAUGUGCGAAAGCACGACAAGGUUAAUCCGAGUGGUUUCUGCUAAAGGAACCUUUUGUCAGUCCUAGAAACACUGGUGAAUAAGGGGUGGGCAAGUUCUGGUGUCAGCCGCCGCGUUAAAACCAGCACCUCAAGUGGUCAGGAUGAUUAUUGGGCCUAAAGCAUCCGUAGCCUGCUUUGUUAGUUUUCGGUUAAAUCCAUACGCUUAACGUAUGGGCUGCCGGGAAUACUGCAAAGCUAGGGAGUGGGAGAGGUAGACGGUACUCGGUAGGAAGGGGUAAAAUCCUUUGAUCUAUUGAUGACCACCUGUGGCGAAGGCGGUCUACCAGAACACGUCCGACGGUGAGGGAUGAAAGCUGGGGGAGCAAACCGGAUUAGAUACCCGGGUAGUCCCAGCUGUAAACUAUGCAAACUCGGUGAUGCAUUGGCUUGAUGCCAAUGCAGUGCCGCAGGGAAGCCGUUAAGUUUGCCGCCUGGGAAGUACGUACGCAAGUAUGAAACUUAAA